GACGGGUGAGUAACACGUGGGAACGUACCCUUCGGUUCGGAACAACUCUGGGAAACUAGAGAUAAUACCGGAUACGAGCGAGAGCUGAAAGGUUUACGCCGAAGGAUCGGCCGCGUCUGAUUAGCUAUGGUGAGGUAAGGUCACAAGGGAGAUCAUACUGGUCUGAAGGAUGAUAGCCACAUUGGGACUGAGACAGGCCCAAACUCCUACGGGAGGCAGCAGUGGGGAAUAUUGGACAAUGGGCGCAAGCCUGAUCCAGCCAUGCCGCGUGAGUGAUGAAGGCCCUAGGGUUGUAAAGCUCUUUUACCUGGGAAGAUAAUGACGGUACCAGGAGAAUAAGCCCCGGCUAACUUCGUGCCAGCAGCCGCGGUAAU
rnacentral:rRNA from 1 species